AUGUCGAUCCAGGGCCUGCUCCUCGAGGUCAGAGUGACGGGGUGCCGGAAGCUGCGGGACACCGAGUUCUUCUCGCGCCAGGACCCCUACGUCAUCGUCGAGUACGCCAACACCAAGCUGCGCACCCGCACCUGCACCGAUGGGGGAAGGAACCCGUCCUUCGACGAGAAGUUUCAUAUACCACUCAUCGAGGGGCUCCGUGAGCUGAGUAUCAACGUGUGGAACAGCAACACAAUCAACACCGAUGACUUCAUUGGCAGCUGCAGGGUGCCGCUGAACAAGGUGCUCACGAGUGGCUACGAUGAUGCCUCAUGGCCCCUCCAGACACGCCAUAUGAAGUCUGCUGGGGAAGUUAAGCUUAUCAUGCACUUUGAUGUCUCAGCAAUGAAGAACAAGAUGGCAGGUAAAACUUCUGGCCAGUACGCUCCUUCGCCAUACGGUGCCUCCUCAGCUUCGUACCCAGCGCCUUCAGCAUAUGCUGCAGCACCCCCGCCGCACCAAGCUUAUGGAGCUCCUAGCCAUGCACCAUAUCCCGCGCCUUCUGCGUACUCAACUCCGCCUCCUCAGCAGCCAUACCCAACUCCACCUCCUCAGCAGCCAUACCCGCAGCAGGGAGGUCCUCCUACAAGUCACCCACCACAGCCAUAUGGGCAACCGUACCCGCCGCAGCCAUACGGGCAACCGUACCCACCACAACCUUAUGGGCAGCAACCGUACCCGCCACAGCCAUAUGGGCAACCCUACCCACCACCUUCAGCAGCACAAUCCCCUUAUCCACCUGCGCCGUACCCUGGAGCUUAUCCACCGCGGCCAUAUUGA
rnacentral:rRNA from 1 species